rnacentral:rRNA from 1 species
GACGAACGCUGGCGGCGUGCUUAACACAUGCAAGUCGAACGGAAAGGCCCUGCUUUUGUGGGGUGCUCGAGUGGCGAACGGGUGAGCAACACGUGAGUAACCUGCCCUUGACUUUGGGAUAACUUCAGGAAACUGGGGCUAAUACCGGAUAGGAGCUCCUGCUGCAUGGUGGGGGUUGGAAAGUUUCGGCGGUUGGGGAUGGACUCGCGGCUUAUCAGCUUGUUGGUGGGGUAGUGGCUUACCAAGGCUUUGACGGGUAGCCGGCCUGAGAGGGUGACCGGCCACAUUGGGACUGAGAUACGGCCCAGACUCCUACGGGAGGCAGCAGUGGGGAAUAUUGCACAAUGGGCGGAAGCCUGAUGCAGCAACGCCGCGUGCGGGAUGACGGCCUUCGGGUUGUAAACCGCUUGCGCCUGUGACGAAGCGUGAGUGACGGUAAUGGGUAAAGAAGCACCGGCUAACUACGUG